AUCAAUUUCACUGUGAAGACUUGUGCUAGAUGAGCUCCUACGUGAAUAUGGGGCCAAUCCAGAAGUUGUAGAAUCAAGGUCAAUCUGAACCUACCUGAACAUGAUUGUUGAUGACUGCAUCAUGAAGAGGGCUAAUGUCUUCAUAUCCAGUAAUCAACCAUUUAACCCAUGGGASCGAUUAAUCAAGGUACCAACCAACAGCUCCAUCAUCUAAAAAGCUUCUUAUACAAUAAAUGAGUAACWCUCUCAUCACCAACCAUCAUCAGUUUUUCUGUUAAGGCUGUAAAGAGCCCACAAAGGAUUAAGUGAAAGCAGGAAUAUGAUGUUUUACACAUACCUGCAUAAUCUUUAGCAUUAACAACUAUACCAGCUUUGAUUAAAUCUAUAGUAUCAUCAACAUCUCCUUUAAUAGCAGCAACAUGUAAAAGAGUUUCCCCUCGCUCAUUCCUCUUGUUGAUUCUAACUGUAUUGCUUUCUUUCUUUGUGAUAUCUUUCUUUUUUAACUUGGUAAAUGCUUGACCUUGGCCUUGUCCUUCAUCACUGUCCGUCUCUUGUUGGUCUUUAGGUUGGGCAUCUUUAGCUGUG